UACGUAGGGACCGAGCGUUGUCCGGAUUCAUUGGGCGUAAAGAGCUCGUAGGCGGCUGCUCAAGUCGAAUGUGAAAACUCGAGGCUCAACCUCGAGCCUGCAUUCGAUACUGGGCGGCUAGAGUCUGGUAGGGGGAGUCUGGAAUUCCUGGUGUAGCGGUGGAAUGCGCAGAUAUCAGGAGGAACACCGGUGGCGAAGGCGGGAUCCUGGGCCAGUACUGACGCUGAGGAGCGAAAGCGUGGGGAGCAAACAGG
rnacentral:rRNA from 1 species